GCGUGACUGAGACGGUGUAAAGAAGACUUGUCGAGGAGCAGGAUCGGUCCCAUCACCGAAGUUUAUAACUUCGACUAGCGCCGCGCUGAAGGUCGCCUGCCGCGAGCCGCCCACGCAAAUGAAAGCGGCCCACGGCAGGACUUCGCUCGGAUCUGGCAGCGGCAGACAACCAUGGGACAAUCGAGGAAACUAUUCUUCUUUCUUCGAACCAGAGGGUCGGGAGUUCGAAUCUCUCCGGGCGCGCCA
rnacentral:tRNA from 1 species